rnacentral:rRNA from 1 species
GACGAACGCUGGCGGCGUGCCUAAUACAUGCAAGUUGAGCGCUGAAGGUUGGUACUUGUACCAACUGGAUGAGCAGCGAACGGGUGAGUAACGCGUGGGGAAUCUGCCUUUGAGCGGGGGACAACAUUUGGAAACGAAUGCUAAUACCGCAUAAAAACUUUAAACACAAGUUUUAAGUUUGAAAGAUGCAAUUGCAUCACUCAAAGAUGAUCCCGCGUUGUAUUAGCUAGUUGGUGAGGUAAAGGCUCACCAAGGCGAUGAUACAUAGCCGACCUGAGAGGGUGAUCGGCCACAUUGGGACUGAGACACGGCCCAAACUCCUACGGAAGGCAGCAGUAGGGAAUCUUCGGCAAUGGACGAAAGUCUGACCGAGCAACGCCGCGUGAGUGAAGAAGGGUUUCGGAUCGUAAAACUCUGUUGGUAGAGAAGAACGUUGGUGAGAGUGGAAAGCUCAUCAAGUGACGGUAACUACCCAGAAAGGGACGGCUAACUACGUA